ACUCAGGUGUUGUUGGGUAGGGGAGCGUUCUGUAAGCCUGCGAAGGUGGCCUGUGAGGGUUGCUGGAGGUAUCAGAAGUGCGAAUGCUGACAUAAGUAACGAUAAAGCGGGUGAAAAGCCCGCUCGCCGGAAGACCAAGGGUUCCUGUCCAACGUUAAUCGGGGCAGGGUGAGUCGACCCCUAAGGCGAGGCCGAAAGGCGUAGUCGAUGGGAAACGGGUUAAUAUUCCCGUACUUGGUGUUACUGCGAAGGGGGGACGGAGAAGGCUAUGUUGGCCGGGCGACGGUUGUCCCGGUUUAAGCGUGUAGGUGUGUGUUCCAGGUAAAUCCGGUUCACUUUAACACUGAGGCGUGACGACGAGGCACUACGGUGCUGAAGCAACAAAUGCCCUGCUUCCAGGAAAAGCCUCUAAGCAUCAGGUAACAUCAAAUCGUACCCCAAACCGACACAGGUGGUCAGGUAGAGAAUACCAAGGCGCUUGAGAGAACUCGGGUGAAGGAACUAGGCAAAAUGGUGCCGUAACUUCGGGAGAAGGCACGCUGACACGUAGGUGAAGUGAUUUACUCAUGGAGCUGAAGUCAGUCGAAGAUACCAGCUGGCUGCAACUGUUUAUUAAAAACACAGCACUGUGCAAACACGAAAGUGGACGUAUACGGUGUGACGCCUGCCCGGUGCCGGAAGGUUAAUUGAUGGGGUCAGCGCAAGCGAAGCUCCUGAUCGAAGCCCCGGUAAACGGCGGCCGUAACUAUAACGGUCCUAAGGUAGCGAAAUUCCUUGUCGGGUAAGUUCCGACCUGCACGAAUGGCGUAAUGAUGGCCAGGCUGUCUCCACCCGAGACUCAGUGAAAUUGAACUCGCUGUGAAGAUGCAGUGUACCCGCGGCAAGACGGAAAGACCCCGUGAACCUUUACUAUAGCUUGACACUGAACAUUGAGCCUUGAUGUGUAGGAUAGGUGGGAGGCUUUGAAGUGUGGACGCCAGUCUGCAUGGAGCCGACCUUGAAAUACCACCCUUUAAUGUUU
rnacentral:rRNA from 1 species